rnacentral:rRNA from 1 species
AAGCGGCGGACGGGUGAGUAACGCGUGGGUAACCUACCCUGUACACACGGAUAACAUACCGAAAGGUAUGCUAAUACGGGAUAAUAUAUUUGAGAGGCAUCUCUUGAAUAUCAAAGGUGGGCCAGUACAGGAUGGACCCGCGUCUGAUUAGCUAGUUGGUAAGGUAACGGCUUACCAAGGCGACGAUCGGUAGCCGACCUGAGAGGGUGAUCGGCCACAUUGGAACUGAGACACGGUCCAA